rnacentral:sRNA from 1 species
AGCAGCCGCGGUAAUUCCAGCUCCAAUAGCGUAUAUUAAAGUUGUUGCAGUUAAAAAGCUCGUAGUUGAAUUUCGGGAUUGGCGCAUCGGUCGUGCCUCACGGGGUAUGAACUGGUGCAGUCAAUUUCUCACCUUCUGGAGAACCGCGAUGUCCUUAAUUGGAUGCCGCGGGGAACCAGGACCUUUACUUUGAAAAAUUAGAGUGUUUAAAGCAGGCAUUUUUGCUUGAAUACAUUAGCAUGGAAUAAUAAAAUAGGACGGCAUGGUUCUAUUUUGUUGGUUUCUAGGACCACCGUAAUGAUUAAUAGGGAUAGUUGGGGGCAUUAGUAUUCAAUUGUCAGAGGUGAAAUUCUUGGAUUUAUUGAAGACUAACUACUGCGAAAGCAUUUGCCAAGGAUGUUUUCAUUAAUCAAGAACGAAAGUUAGGGGAUCGAAGACGAUCAGAUACCGUCGUAGUCUUAACCAUAAACUAUGCCGACUAGGAAUCAGACGAUGUUAAUUUUUAAUGUACUCGUUUGGC